AGAGGUCUGGGAGAUGUUUGCCUUUGAGAAAUGCAGGAAGCAGCCAGCAAGCAAGGUGCUGAAGCCCAAAAAUGAAAUCGGCUUCAAGGUCAUCAAAGGCUCUUAGGAAGGAUAAGGAGACAUCUGGAUGGGACAGUUCAGGUGUAGAAGCCACCCUCCAAAGCCGAGAAGAGAUCCCUGCCUGUCUUAUUUCGGCAGUUUGUUUCACACCUCUCCAUGCAGUGAGGUUCAGCAUGGUGGAUGCGAUGAGGAAAAUAGCCUUGUCGAAGGCACCUGUGUCACUGGACAUGUACAGGAGUUUGUAUAUGACAGACUACAGAUGGCACAAGGAGUACCAGCCGCCCACCGAGGAGUACUUGCAGAAGCUAAAGUCUGCAGAUUCCCAGCUAAAAGCCAAGGAGUUUGCAGUACCUCAAGAGCAGCGGUUGAUGAACUACUGGGACAAUGUGGUCGGAGAGGGAAGAGAGGUCAUCCCAGGACCGUGCAGUAAAGUGAACAGGCUUUCUGAUGACAUGCCAGAGAAGAAGCAGAAAGAAAGCUAUCUACCAAAAUCCUACCCUGCAACUGAAGCAACAGCAACCCAGGAGGAGAAGCUGGAGAGGCCACAGGCUCUUACUAAGCUAGAAAAUGAGCUUUCCUGUUCCCAUUGUCUUCCAGCUGCUGUUCAGACUCCUGGAACAGAAGGGAUGUUGCUGCACAAGCAGGAGCUGGAUCGGGGCUGGGCUGCCUACCAGCAAUUCAUCUUGGAGACAUGUCGGGCAAGGCAAUUUAAAGCUCAAGAAAACAAGAGCAUGGUCUUGGGCUCAUCUGUUUUGGGGGAAGGAACUACUGGGUAUCAGAGUACGAGGACAGCUACAGUGUUUUCUUACGGAGGCUGAACCGGUCAUCUCAAAUCCCCACUGCAGGGCUGUGUUCAGCCGUAAAGCCCAUCUCACAUCUACCCCACAGGCUGUCCUCUCAGAAAGCGAUUGCUGUGGACACAGCCCAGUGAGAGGUGCUACAGCUGUCCAUGGGGCGAACAAGUCAAGACCAAAGGCUGGUGGAAGCAUAUGAAAGAGAAAACAAAUAUACGGAGCCUGGUGAGUGAAAGCUGGAAGGAAGACUGUCAGAUGGAAUUCACCAAGUACUAGAAAUGUAUCAGAUGCAACAGCACAUAAGGUAUUAGAAAAGCACAAUCGGGGAGCACAGCAGGUGCCAUGUGUCAAAGGAACUUCAUUCUUGGAGCUGAUGAAUAACACUGCUUAUAGAGAAAUCAAGUGAAGCACACCAGUGUAACCUGAUGGAAAGCACAGCUGAGAGACAGCUGCAUCUGAUCUGUAGUACAGCUAGAAAAACAAUGGUUAGCAAGUGUCUUUGGUGGCUUCUGUUCAUAAUCACUGUCAACCAACAGAGUUAUUAGGAAGUUACUUUAGAGUAAAGAUCUCUGUUUAUGCAGCUUCACACCUGGCUGGAUCAAGGCAGACAGGAAAGCAAACCCUCCUUUCUUUUCUGCCUCCCAUGUAGCUUCUCCAAGGAUGGUGCUGAAUAAGGGGUAGUACCAUCCCGGCAGGCUCCCCCUCCCAAGAAAGGGAGAGGAAACAGGAAAAUAAAUUUGCCACUCUUACAGUCCCA
rnacentral:lncRNA from 1 species